UAAAAAGCUAAUUAAGGGCACAUGGAGGAUGCCUAGGUAGUAAAAGCCGAAGAAGGACGUGAUAAGCUGCGAAAAGCUUAGGGGAGUUGCAUAUGAGCGUAGAUCCUAAGAUAUCCGAAUGGGGAAACCUACUUGUUGGAAGGACAAGUGAGAGAUAGGUAAGCUAGCGAACUGAAACAUCUAAGUAGCUAGAGGAAAAGAAAGUAAAAACGAUUCUCUUAGUAGCGGCGAGCGAAGGGGGAAGAGCCUAAAACAUGGUGGUGUUAAACUUGGCGAGUUUGCCAUCAUGUGUAAGAGGGAGAUAUUUUGUCUCUUGUACACAUCUCCGAGCCCACGAACUAGCUAUGAUAUAGUAUGCCGUCUUCUGCAUGAAAAAAAACAACUCCACGACUAACUAAGACA
rnacentral:rRNA from 1 species